AGAAUAAUCGACAAUGCAGAAAUAGUACAGGGAAGGAAACUGAUAGCGUGUUUCCCUCAAAGAGAAGUCCAAGGAAGGAUUAAGUAACUCGUGGCAAGGACGUGGCCUAGUCGACGGAGACGGUGUUCACGAUGGUCCAACGGCUAUCGUUGUUGAUCGAAUUGUUCGUGUUGGGCGUGGUCCGAUUUCUUGCUCAAUUUUGCGGCCGCAAAUCGGGUGGCCGUCGAAGGUACCGUCACCCAGUUACGUCAGCGUGCCCGUGGGUCCUGGUCGCGCGGUAUAAAAGCCGAAAACCACCCGUCUGUGGUAUCAUUCGCAUCACAGACAGACAGAUCAAGAGAUCUUCCAAUCAAGCGAGCUACAAUGGCCUUCAAGUUCAUCGUCUUCGCUGCCUUCGUUGCCGCCGCUAACGCUGGAAUCCUGCGAGAGGCAGCACCUCUGACCUACGCGCCAGCAGCGUCACUGGCUUACUCCGCACCUCUGGCCUACGCGGCUGCGCCUGUAGCUAAGGCGGUGGUGGCCGCCCCUGUGGCUAAGGCCGUUGUUGCCAAGACCGUUGACGCCGACUUCGACCCCCACCCCCAAUACAGCUACGCCUAUGACGUGCACGACAGCCUGACCGGUGACGCCAAGAGCCAACAGGAAACCCGCGACGGAGACGUUGUUCAGGGUAGCUACUCCCUGAUCGAAGCUGACGGAACCAGACGCACCGUCGACUACGUUGCUGACCCAGUCAACGGAUUCAACGCUGUAGUCCGCAAAGAAGCUGCCGCCGCCCCUAUCGUCGCUGCAGCCCCAGUAGCUAAAAUUGCUGCCGCUCCAGUUGCCAAAAUCGCCGCUGCUCCAGUCGCCUACGCCGCUCCCGUUGCCAAGAUCGCCGCUGCUCCAGUCGCCUACGCCGCUCCAGUCGCCAAAUUCGCCGCCGCUCCAGUCGCAUACGCCGCCCCCGCUCCAGUCGCCUACGCCGCUCCCGUUGCCAAAUACGCCGCUGCUCCUCUCGCAUACGCCGCCCCCGCUCACGCUUUCAUCCACUGAAUCCGAUCUAUUGUUUAGGAAUUAUGUUUGUCGAAUAAAUACGGUUUUUUUUUAGCAAGUAUACGAAACGUACUAUACUCUGUUACCUUUUUACUUUACUACCCAUAUCUUUGAACAUAUUUUUAAGUUUGUGUCUGAAUUUGGUGUUUGUUUCUCUUUUGUGCAUCGUUUAGGUGUGCAAAAAGGUAAAUAUAUACGUACGUUGUAUAGUGGAUAUUUCUUGGUGGUGCUGUACAACGGAAAGAAUGGAAAAUCAUGUUUGCUAAUUUUGUUAAAGGCUUUGAUUGUCGUUGGUGUAUAAUUAUUAUUCAAUUCGAAUAUAUUCAAUGGUUGGCUAAAAUUCCUUUUAGGGGACAUUAAAGUUGCGACUGAUUUUUUUAUUAUUAUUAUUAAUUAUUAGUUUUUUUUAUUAUUGAUAGAAAUGUUAAAAGAUAGGAAUUCCAUGCGCCCCAAAAAGAUGUUCAGCUUAGUCUUUUAAAAAUGAUACAAUAAAAUGCAAUAAAACAUAAAUACAUAUUGGAAAUAUAAAAGGACACGAACGUAUUAGAGUUCGUAAAAGAUAAGUAUUGCGUCAUGCCAAAGUAUUACAGGAGAUAGGAUAGUAUUGGAAAGGUAUGUGAUUAAUUAAAAAAAUCUCGUGCUCAUAUUUUCAAUCGUUAUCGUUCAUUAAGGUGGCUGGCUUUCAUUAAAAAUUCACGGACAGACAUCGGUCUCCGACACUUUCUCUGCCAGUGCCAAUGUUGCUGAUUACACAAUACAACCACGCCUCAUACGCAUCGUUCGUGUGUAAUGCACGUAAUGUGAGCCAUUGCGUUAAUCGGGAACUCCAGGCAAACCAGAUUCGUGCAAUGGUGCAAACCUUGAUCCACUUACGAUCCGACAUACUUACAGAUUUUGAAAAAACUUACUUAUGUAUAGUUACAUAAUCUUCUGCAAGGACAUUAGAUGUAUCUAAAGGUGUCAGAAAUGUGAAUUGACUCUGUGGAUGCAUUUUAGUAUGAUCCAAAA